CCUCACCUGCUCUGGAUUUGACUCAUCAGCUCUCAGGCUUCUUCAGGCUGUUUGGAGGAUCUUUGCUGAAGCAUUGCUACUCUUGGAGUUUAAGGACUUCCUGAGUGCCCUCUGAUCCACCUGUUUUCCAAGYCUGCCUGUAAACUCUUAYCUGAAGAGCCUCUCACCUGAUUCUUCACGUGCWCUGCCUGUCUGCCUCCACCAAACUAAGAACYAAAUACUCACCUGUUGACCUGGGGCCAUCUCCUCCAUGCUGAGUCUAUACCUAUCUGCGUUCAGUGUGUCCGCGCUCACCUACCGUGAAAGUUCAGGGCCAAGAGAAACACGCACAUUCACAGCUGUUUGUCACAAGGUUGGAAACCUCUGAUAGAG